CCAAAAAGACACAGGAGGAACAUGUUCACUGCCACAGCUGCCCAGAAAUUGAAUUUGCUGCUGAGAAUUUAAUUACAGACAGCAAUCAACGCAGCAGACUGAGAAGUGACCAAAUGUGAGAUGGAGGAUAGAGCAACACCUCUGGAUCUACUGCCUCACUGUGCAGAGGCUAACACGGAGAACAGCGGGCUUCCAGCUAAAAAAAGGAUAAUUCAGAGCCCUUCUGUAUCCUAUAUUCAGCAUCAAAACCAGGCAUUGACAGUCAUCCUGCCAGAUCUUCUGGAAGAGGAGAGAGUUGGCCUGGGUUCAGCUGAUACUUGAGCAGCUCUAGGGGAGAGCCACUCUCCUGCUAAUCAGGACACUUGACAUUCAUCACAAGGCAAGACAAGCUGCUCAUCAGCAGGUCUGCAGGGCAGCUGCUUGUGAGGAAGGUGCAGCAUGAUAAGCUGAAUCAUUUCCCACUCCAGUUCUAUCGUGCAGCCUUUCCCCAGCAUCCCUGAGAUGAACAUCAGCUCACAGUCACUCCAUGCAAGCAUGAAUCCUGCCAUAAAGUCUGGUUACAGCCCCUCAUUCUUUCCUUUCAAGAGAAGUCUGGGGCUUUUUUUAAAUUGGAUUAAAUAGGAACAAACGAAAGAGAGAAGAAAAGAACUGUCUUGGGAAAUCUUUCUUUUCUUCAUUUGCUUCAGGGAGCCACAGAGCUGGAGAUAAAAAGCAGCUUACCAGAAACAAGCAGCAUUUGAUCAGCACUGUUGACCUGCCAGCAGGAGGGAGCCAUGGAUAUAAAAGCCUGGGAAAAAUCAGCAGUCAUCCAUUUCUGCUGUACGUCUCUCAAAACACACAGCACCACCCCUUGUGUGUCCAACACACGACCAGCCUGUGUGAAGGUCUUCCUCUAAGGAACUUCAGAGAGCAAGUACAAAACCAGAAGGAUUUCACACACCACAGGAAACGCUGUGGGAAAUUAACACUUUAAGAGUCAACAGCUCAGGUCUAAAUCACUUUUACCCUUCAGUUUGCUGCUAGCAGUCACCACCUUGUGCACUUCUGUUUUCUGUGACAGUAGAAUCAAUUUAAACACUGAUUUCUCUACUGUUAAAUGUGUACUGUAUUUUAUCAAGCCAGCAGCAAUUAUGUUAAUGGCAUCUUCAGGCUUUUGC
rnacentral:lncRNA from 1 species